GAGCAGAGGUUGCUGCGGGGGGAGAGGCAGUCGGCGCACUCCCCGCACUGCGCCAGGAACACCGGCACCACCGUGUCGCCCACGGCCACCUCCUGCACCUGCUCCCCGACGCUCUCCACCACGCUGGAAUAAGCAUGGAUGCACGGAAACAUGCUCGGGCCAUCCUGCAAAAAAGGGAGAAACACAGUAUCGUGCCUAUCAGCACACCUCGCGCCCAAUAAAAAAAGGAAAGAAAUGGAAGUCCAGGGACAGAAACCUUCUUCAGAUGAAGAAAAGGCAGAUUCUGAUGCUGUGUUGUGUGUUGAUGCAUGCUUAAGGGCAACAAGCCUGCAGAAAGUGCUGAGUAAAACGAUGACGGGGAGUGAGAGAAUGCAAGCAUGGUACCUUCAUGCGCCAGAAGGUGAUGUCGGUGUGGCAGAGCGAGGUGCAGACGAUCUUGACGCGGAC